AUACUUAGGGUCUGAUCCAAACCCCACAGAACUCAGUGGGACUUUCCAUUGACUUCAGUGGGCUUUGGAUCAGGCCCUUCCAGU
rnacentral:pre_miRNA from 1 species